AUUGCCUCAGUAACGGCGAGUGAAGCGGCAAGAGCUCAAAUUUGAAAGCUGGCUCCUUCGGGGUCCGCAUUGUAAUUUGCAGAGGAUGCUUCGGGUGCAGCCCCCGUCUAAGUGCCCUGGAACGGGCCGUCAUAGAGGGUGAGAAUCCCGUAUGGGGCGGGGUGUCUGCGUCCGUGUGAAGCUCCUUCGACGAGUCGAGUUGUUUGGGAAUGCAGCUCUAAAUGGGUGGUAAAUUUCAUCUAAAGCUAAAUACUGGCCGGAGACCGAUAGCGCACAAGUAGAGUGAUCGAAAGAUGAAAAGCACUUUGAAAAGAGAGUUAAACAGCACGUGAAAUUGUUGAAAGGGAAGCGCUUGCAACCAGACUCGCUCGCGGGGUUCAGCCGGGCUUCGGCCCGGUGUACUUCCCCGCGGGCGGGCCAGCGUCGGUUUGGGCGGCCGGUCAAAGGCCUCCGGAAUGUAGCGCCCUUCGGGGCGCCUUAUAGCCGGGGGUGCAAUGCGGCCAGCCUGGACCGAGGAACGCGCUUCGGCACGGACGCUGGCA
rnacentral:rRNA from 1 species